rnacentral:rRNA from 1 species
GACGAACGCUGGCGGCGUGCCUAAUACAUGCAAGUCGAACGAAGCUGUUUUAACUGGUGCUUGCACCGACUUAAACAACUGAGUGGCGAACGGGUGAGUAACACGUGGGUAACCUGCCCCAAAGCGGGGGAUAACAUUUGGAAACAGAUGCUAAUACCGCAUAAUCACAGAAACCACAUGGUUUCUGUGUCAAAGAUGGUUUCGGCUAUCACUUUGGGAUGGACCCGCGGGGUAUUAGCUAGUUGGUAAGGUAAUGGCUUACCAAGGCAAUGAUACGUAGCCGAACUGAGAGGUUGAUCGGCCACAUUGGGACUGAGACACGGCCCAAACUCCUACGGGAGGCAGCAGUAGGGAAUCUUCCACAAUGGACGAAAGUCUGAUGGAGCAACGCCGCGUGAGUGAAGAAGGUUUUCGGAUCGUAAAACUCUGUUGUCAGGGAAGAACGUGUGCGAGAGUAACUGUUCGUGCAGUGACGGUGUCUGGCCAGAAAGCCACGGCUAACUACGUGCCAGCCGCCGCCGUAAUAC